rnacentral:tRNA from 1 species
AGCCUUGUAUUCAUUUUGUGAUUAUAGAAUGCAAUUCUAUAGGGGUGGUCGAAGGACUUCCAAGGCCU